GGCUGGUUAGCUUAGCUGGUUAUGAGCGUGGGGCUAAUAACACCAAGCUUGCGGGUUCUAUCCCCGUAUGGGCCA
rnacentral:tRNA from 1 species